rnacentral:tRNA from 2 species
GGCUUUAUAGUCAAUAAUGAUAUUAGACUGCAAUUCUAAAGGAGUAAAUAUUUACUAAGGCUU